rnacentral:lncRNA from 1 species
AUGGCGCAGGCCGCGCUGCAGGCCCCGAGCCGGAUCCGGGCCGGGCCCGAGCCCCGCGCACAAUGGCCGGGCGGCACCGCUCGGCGUCACCCGGCCGCCGUCCCCCUUCCCUUCCCCUCCCGGACCCGGCCGGGGAGGCCCCGCCGCACCUCGGCGCACGGGGCGAGGCCGCCUCGGCCCGGCCGCGAGCAGGAAACCGGCCGCGCUUUUAGGCCGCGCCGGGGCCUCGUCCCGAGGAUCCUCGAAGGCCGCCGCGCCGUCCCCGACACGCCGUCCCCGGGCCGUUCCUGGGGCGGCGGCCCGCAGCCCUUCGUUGCCGCGCGGGGCCUGUCGGGGCGAGGCGCCGAGGCCGCCGUGCCGCGCUCCGCUGGGCGCUCACCUGUGUGCGCUGUGCCGGGAGGAGCUGGCUGUGUCAGGCGGGCUGGCUCCCGAUGGCGCGGGCUGCGGGGCGACGUGCGCUCGGCGAGACGCUGGGUGCCCGGCCCGACCCGCCCGCGCGCUCCCUGCCUCGCUCCCUGCCUGGCUCCCUGCCGCCUGCCGGCCGAGCGCACACACAGACACACUCACACACACACAGGCACACUCACACACCGCCGCGGGGACGCGCCGGCUGCGGCGGAGCUCUCCUGCUGCCACGCGCGCUCCCGAAGCGGCGAGCAGCGCCCCCGCGCACGCGCACCCGGCAACGCCGCGCGGGCCGAGCCGCCCCGGCGCCGGGCGGGGAACAAAGGCCGCGCUGCUCCGGCCGCGCCUCUCCGCGGGGUGGCGCCGGGCUCGGCCCCGGGACCGCUCGGCCCCGCCGGCCGCCAGACCCCGCCGAUCUCCCUCCUCGGCCCGGGCACGCUGUCGCCUCUCACCUGUAUCGCCGCCCAGCCGAGUCGUGGUCACCCGGCUCCGCUGUGGGAGCGCGGAGAUGCGCCGCGAAAGAAGGGGAAGGGGCCGCGGUGCGCAGGGCUCGGCCCUCGGCCCCUCGCGUCCGCCCGCCCCGCUCAGGGGCAGCGCUCCCGGGCUGCGGGCGAUUGUUGUGGCACAACGGCAUCUGCGGCGUCACGGCCCCCGCGUUCCACACGGGCUCGGGCAGAAUAG